UACGUAGGGUGCAAGCGUUGUCCGGAAUUAUUGGGCGUAAAGAGCUCGUAGGCGGUUUGUCGCGUCGGCUGUGAAAUCCCGAGGCUCAACCUCGGGCCUGCAGUCGAUACGGGCAAACUAGAGUGUGGUAGGGGAGACUGGAAUUCCUGGUGUAGCGGUGAAAUGCGCAGAUAUCAGGAGGAACACCGGUGGCGAAGGCGGUUCUCUGGGCCUGUACUGACGCUGAGGAGCGAAAGCGUGGGGAGCGAACAGG
rnacentral:rRNA from 1 species